rnacentral:rRNA from 1 species
AGCGAACGCUGGCGGCAGGCUUAACACAUGCAAGUCGAGCGGGCGUAGCAAUACGUCAGCGGCAGACGGGUGAGUAACGCGUGGGAACGUACCUUUUGGUUCGGAACAACACAGGGAAACUUGUGCUAAUACCGGAUAAGCCCUUACGGGGAAAGAUUUAUCGCCGAAAGAUCGGCCCGCGUCUGAUUAGCUAGUUGGUGAGGUAACGGCUCAC